rnacentral:rRNA from 1 species
GAUGAACGCUGGCGGCGUGCCUAAUACAUGCAAGUCGAGCGAACAGACGAGGAGCUUGCCCCUCUGAUGUUAGCGGCGGACGGGUGAGUAACACGUGGAUAACCUACCUAUAAGACUGGGAUAACUUCGGGAAACCGGAGCUAAUACCGGAUAACAUGUUGAACCGCAUGGUUCAACAGUGAAAGACGGUCUUGCCGUCACCUAUAGAUGGAUCCGCGCCGCAUUAGCUAGUUGGUAAGGUAACGGCUUACCAAGGCAACGAUGCGAAGCCGACCUGAGAGGGUAAUCGGCCACACUGGAACUGGGACACGGUCCAGACUCCUACGGGAGGCAGCAGUAGGGAAUCUGCCGCAAUGGGCGAAGGCCUGACAGGGCAACGCCGCGUGAGUGAAGAAGGUCUUCGGAUCGUAAAACUCUGUUAUUAGGGAGGAACAAAUGUGUGAGUAACUAUCCACGUCUUGACGGUACCUAAUCAGAAAGCCACGGCUAACUACGUG